UUUAAGAGAAAAUGGUUAUAAGUGUUGUCUAAACACUCCUAAUCCAUCUCUAACUCUUAUAAUUAGUCAAAUGCAUUGGAUUGUGACAUAUUUUGACCAUACAAAUACUAACCAAACUGUUUACUACUUCUAAGCAAUUUUUUUGUUGGUUUUAGCCUCUUUUGAUAGAAAAUGGGUAUAAGUGUUGUAUGAACACUCCUAAUCCAUUUGUAACUCUUAUAAUUAGUCAAAGGCUUUCGAUUGUGACACAUUUUGACCCUAGAAACACUAACAAACCUAUUUACUGCUUCUAAGCAAUUUUUUGUUGGUUCUAGCCGCUUGUGGGAGAAAAUGGGUAUAAGUGUUGUCUAAACACUCUUAAUCCAUCUUUAACUCUUAUAUUUAGUCAAAUGCAUUGGAUUGUGACAAAUGUUUAGAAUAGAAACACUAACAAACCUAUUUACUGCUACUAAGCAAAUUUUUGUUGGUUUUAGCCUCUUUUGGGAGAAAAUGAUUAUAAGCGUUGUCUAAACACUCCUAAUCCAUCUCUAACUCUUAUUAUUAGUCAAAUGCAUUGGAUUGUGACACAUUUUGACCAUAAAAACACUAAUAAAACUGUUUACUGCUUGUAAGCAAUUUUUUGUUGGUUUUAGCCUCUUCUGAGAGAAAAUGGGUAUAAGUAUUGUUUAAACACUCUUAAUCUAUCUCUAACUCUUAUAAUUAGUCAAAUGCAUUAGAUUGUGACAAAUUUUUACAAUAGAAACACUAACAACCCUAUUUACUGCUUCUAAGCCAAUUUUUGUUGGUUUUAGCCUCUUUUGGGAGAAAAUGGGUAUAAGUGUUGUCUAAACACUCCUAAUCCAUCUCUAACUCUUAUAAUUGGUCAAAUGCAUUGGAUUGUAACACAUUUUGACCAUAAAAACACUAACAAAACUGUUUAUUGCUUGUAAGCAAUUUUUUGUUGGUUUUAGCCUCUUUUGGGAGAAAAUGGGUAUAAGUGUUGUCUAAACACUCCUAAUCCAUCUCUAACUCUUAUUAUUAGUCAAAUGCAUUGGAUUGUGACACAUUUUGAUCAUAAAAACACUAAUAAAACUGUUUACUGCUUGUAAGCAAUCUUUUGUUGGUUUUAGCCUCUUUUGAGGGAAAAUGGGUAUAAGUAUUGUUUAAACACUCUUAAUCUAUCUCUAACUCUUAUAAUUAGUCAAAUGCAUUAGAUUGUGACAAAUUUUUACAAUAGAAACACUAACAACCCUAUUUACUGCUUCUAAGCAAAUGUUUGAUGGUUUUAGCCGCUUUUGGGAGAAAAUGGGUAUAAACGUUGUCUAAAGACUCCUAAUCCAUCUCUAACUCUUAUUAUUAUUAAAAUGCAUUGGAUUGUGACACAUUUUGACCAUAAAAACACUAACGAAGCAAUUUACAGAUUCUAAUCAAUUUUUUGGUUGUUUUAGCCUCUUUUGAGAAAACCUUGAUAUAAGUGUUGUCUAAACACUCCUAAUCUCUCUUUAACUCUUAUAAUUAGUCAAAUGCAUUGGAUUGUGACACAUUUUGACCAUCAAAACACUCAUAGAACUGUUUACUACUUCUAAGCAAUGUUUUGGUUGUUUUAGCCUCUUUUGGGAGAAAAUGGGUAUAAGUGUUGUCUAAACAUUCCAAAUCCAUCUCUAACUCUAAUAAUUAGUCAAAGGUUUUGGAUUGUGACACAUUUUGACCAUAGAAACUCUAACAAAGCUAUUUACUGCCUCUAAGCAAUGUUUUGUUGGUUUUAGCCGCUUCUGGGAGAAAAUGGGUAUAAGUGAUGUCUAAACACUCUUAAUCCAUCUUUAACUCUUAUAAUUAGUCAAAUGCAUUGGACUGUGACACGUUUUGACCAUCAAAACACUAACAGAACUGUUUACUGCUUCUAAGCAAUUUUUUAUUUGUUUUAACCUCUUUUGGGAGAAAAUGGGUAUAAGUGUUGUCUAAACACUCCUAAUCCUUCUCUAACUCUUAUAAUUAGUCCAAUGCAUUGGAUUGUGUCACAUUUUGACCAUAGAGAAACUAACAAAUAUAUUUACUGCUUCAAAGCAAAUUUUUGUUGGUUUUAGCCUCUUUUGGGAGAAAAUGGGUAUAAGUGUUGUCUAAACACUCCUAACACAUCUUUAACUCUUAUAAUUAGUCAAAUGCAUUGGAUUGUGACACAUAUUUACCAUAAAAACACUAACAAAACUGUUUACUGCUUUUAAGCAGUUUUUUGUUGGUUUUAGCCUCUUUUGGGAGAAAAUGGAUAUAAGUGUUGUCAAAACACCCCUAAUCCAUCUCUAACUCAUAUAAUCAGUUAAAUGUAUUGGAUUGCAAUACAUAUUGACCAUUGAAACACUAACAAAGCUAUUUAGUGUUUGUAAGCAAUAUUUUGUUGGUUGUAGCUUCUUUUGGGAGAAAAUGGGUAUAAGUGUUGUCUAAACACUCCUAAUCCAUCUCUAACUCUUAUAAUUAGUCAAAUGCAUUAGCUUGUGACAUAUUUUGACAAUAGAAACACUAACAAAGCUAUUUACUGUUUCUAAGCAAUUUUUCGUUGGUUUUAGCCUCUUUAUGGAGAAAAUGAGUAUAAGUGUUGUCUACACACUCCUAAUCCAUCUCUAACUCUUAUAACUUGUUAAAUGCUUUGGAUUGUGACACAUUUUGACCAUAGAAACACUCAUAAAGCUAUUUACUGCUUCUAAGCAAUUUUUUGUAGGUAUUAGCCUA
rnacentral:sRNA from 1 species